AACGUAGGAGACAAACGUUAUCCGGAGUUACUGGGCGUAAAGGGCGUGUAGGCGGUAUGUUAAGUCUGGCGUGAAAGCUCUCGGCUAAACCGGGAGAGGUCGUUGGAUACUGGCAAACUAGAGGAUGGUAGAGGCGUGUGGAGUUCCGGGUGUAGUGGUGAAAUGCGUAGAGAUCCGGAGGAACACCAGUGGCGAAGGCGACACGCUGGGCCAUACCUGACGCUAAAGCGCGACAGCAUGGGGAGCAAACAGG
rnacentral:rRNA from 1 species